AUUGAACGCUGGCGGCAUGCCUUACACAUGCAAGUCGAGCGGCAGCACGGGGCAACCUGGUGGCGAGUGGCGAACGGGUGAGUAAUGCAUCGGAACGUACCUUUCAGUGGGGGAUAACGUAGCGAAAGUUACGCUAAUACCGCAUAUUCUGUGAGCAGGAAAGCAGGGGAUCGCAAGACCUUGCGCUGAUUGAGCGGCCGAUGUCAGAUUAGCUAGUUGGUGAGGUAAAGGCUCACCAAGGCGACGAUCUGUAGCGGGUCUGAGAGGAUGAUCCGCCACACUGGAACUGAGACACGGUCCAGACUCCUACGGGAGGCAUCAGUGGGGAAUUUUGGACAAUGGGGGCAACCCUGAUCCAGCCAUGCCGCGUGAGUGAAGAAGGCCUUCGGGUUGUAAAGCUCUUUCGGCCGGGAAGAAAUCGCACGGGCUAAUACCCUGUGUGGAUGACGGUACCGGAAUAAGAAGCACCGGCUAACUACGUGCCAGCAGCCGCGGUAAAAC
rnacentral:rRNA from 1 species